CUACGGGAUGCUCCAGUGAGGAAUAUUGGGCAAUGGGCGCAAGCCUGACCCAGCCAUGCCGCGUGAAGGAUGAAUGCCCUACGGGUUGUAAACUUCUUUUGUACGGGACGAAACUUCCGAUCGUGAUCGGAACUGACUGUACCGUUCGAAUAAGCAUCGGCUAACUCCGUGCCAGCAGCCGCGGUAAUACGGAGGAUGCAAGCGUUAUCCGGAUUCAUUGGGUUUAAAGGGUGCGUAGGCGGAAUAGUAAGUCGGUGGUGAAAGCCUGCGGCUUAACCGUAGAAUUGCCAUUGAUACUGUUAUUCUUGAGUAUAGUUGAGGUGGGCGGAAUGUGUAAUGUAGCGGUGAAAUGCUUAGAUAUUACACAGAACACCAAUUGCGAAGGCAGCUCACUAAACUAUCACUGACGCUGAGGCACGAAAGCGUGGGGAGCAAACAGGAUUAGAUACCCCCGUAGUC
rnacentral:rRNA from 1 species